CCUACGGGAGGCAGCAGUGAGGAAUAUUGGUCAAUGGACGAGAGUCUGAACCAGCCAAGUAGCGUGAAGGAUGACUGCCCUAUGGGUUGUAAACUUCUUUUAUAUGGGAAUAAAACAGGGCAUGCAUACCCUCUUGUAGGUACCAUAUGAAUAAGGACCGGCUAACUCCGUGCCAGCAGCCGCGGUAAUACGGAGGAUCCGAGCGUUAUCCGGAUUUAUUGGGUCUAAAGGGAGCGUAGGUGGAUUGUUAAGUCAGUUGGGAAAGUCUGCGGCCCAACCGUAAAAUCGCAGUUGAAACUGGCAGUCUUGAGUACACAACAGGCAGGCGGAAUUCGUGGUGUAGCGGUGAAAUGCAUAGAUAUCACGAGGAACCCCGAUUGCGAAGGCAGCCCGCCGGACUGCGACUGACGCUGAGGCUCGAAGGUGUGGGUAUCAAACAGGAUUAGAUACCCGUGUAGUC
rnacentral:rRNA from 1 species